AACGAACGCUGGCGGCAUGCCUAACACAUGCAAGUCGAACGAAGUCUUCGGACUUAGUGGCGCACGGGUGCGUAACGCGUGGGAAUCUGCCCUUGGGUACGGAAUAACUCAGAGAAAUGUGUGCUAAUACCGUAUAAUGUCUUCGGACCAAAGAUUUAUCGCCCAAGGAUGAGCCCGCGUAAGAUUAGCUAGUUGGUGGGGUAAAAGCCUACCAAGGCGACGAUCUUUAGCUGGUCUGGGAGGAUGAUCAGCCACACUGGGACUGAGACACGGCCCAGACUCCUACGGGGGGCAGCAGUAGGGAAUAUUGGACAAUGAGCGAGAGCCUGAUCCAGCAAUGCCGCGUGAGAGAUGAAGGCCCUAGGGUGGUAAAGCUCUUUUACCAGGGAUGAUAAUGACAGUACCUGGAGAAUAAGCGCCGGCUAACUACGUG
rnacentral:rRNA from 1 species